GACAUUUUCCCACCACACCAGUGGCUACUCCCACUUGCACUAGGAGCGCUGUGACACCCCAACUUGUGGGGCAGAGGUCAGGCCCAGAGUGCUGAAGUGCUGAAGCUCCUGUAGAAGGUCCUUCCAUGUGUCUUUCAGAUCCUGGGCUUGGCCUUCUCCAUAACCAUCACCCAGCACAUCCACUGGACUGGGUCUUGCUCUGUCAUCCAGACUGGAGUACAGUGGUGCAACCACGGCUCACUGCAGCCUUGAACUCCUGGGCUCAAGCAAUCCUCCUACCUCAGCCUCCAUAGCAGUCGGGACCACAGGACACUGACAGAGGAUGCAGGAGGAGGAAACGUCACUUACCCUCUGGUAAUACACAUGGGCCAGGACUCCCGCCACCAGCUCAACCAGGAAGAUGACGAGCAACAGGCAGAAAUACUAGCAGCAA
rnacentral:lncRNA from 1 species